AUGAACAGAACCUCAGGCCAGAUACCGAAGUGUUUAAAGCGCCAGUCCAAGACACCAACAUCUUUUACAAUCCCAAAUGUACUUUGCUCGCAGAUUGACUGUAAAACACCAUCCUCACCAACCACAACUAAUUCAAGUGAAGUUCCCUGUAGCAAUGACCAACUUUUCAGUAAAAUACAGAGUAAUAAUAAGCAAGAAGCAACAACAGCAUCAUGCACAAAUAAUACAUCAGCCUUACAACAAGAGAUUGAUAUAACAUAUGUAGCGCUAAAAACAUUUCUACAAGUGUCCGACCUUCUGAUUCAGGUUUUACCAUGA
rnacentral:rRNA from 1 species